UUUCAUAAACAUCUUUAUAACCUUGGAAUAGACCAGUCACCAGUGCCUCUCGGGUUAGCCAAACAGAUGAAGUCCAUCUCAAUGGUUUCUUCCAGCUCUGGCAUGAUACUCAUGUUUAAGAAGGUUGGCUCUCAACAUCAUUGACCUGACAUCUCUAUCGAACUCGUUACCCAUCUGAAGCACCUUUUGGAAAGUUGCAUUCCUCUGAUCAGCGUGCCUUGCAUAGAGGAUUUUGUUGUGAGAAUCAAUCCGUGCCUGUCGGGAAUGGAAAAAAAAAGGGUUUAAUGGUUUCGAAAUGACAGUAAUAAGACAAAGUUUCUAUAUUGAAACAGAACGAACCUGUAUCUGGUUGUCUGUUAUCAAGGCUUCCAGUUCCUUCUCUAGACCAGAGACACUCGUCUUGAACGCAUCAGCCAUCCUACUCAAAUCAACAGAAACAAAUGGCAGUGUGUACUGGAUCAACGCCUUCUUCCUUAUCUGAUCAUAGAGUGUGUCGACGUGAUCAUGAAGAUGGAUGUCCAGCAGCAGAUUCGCUCUGAGACUUCCGAGAUACUCCAGACAAGAAGCAUAGCGGCUGCCAACAAGAGAAGUUAAACAUGAGAUUUGAUAGGAGAAAAAGGUUCAUGUCGUUGUGAUAGAUAAGAAUUUGGAGAAGUCUUCAUAAGCAAGACGGUAUAGAAUUCAACAUAACCCACAGUUCAGUGAGUUGGUCAGAGCCAAUGGUUAGAAUAAAUACUGAUAAAAUGGACAAGAGUUUGUAAGAAACAUGUUAGACAAGAGUUUUGCAUGAAACAUGUUACCUUGAAUAGAAAUCGUUAAUAAGUUCCCUCACUUCGGGUACUAGCUCCAAGAAAUCCCGGAAGUUGAUGUUGUCAAUCACUUUUGCCUGUCACAUAAGAUUAGUGAGUUAUGGAUCAAGGGACAAUGAAACCAAAAACUGACAACUAAUGAGAAAAAUCUUAAAGGGAUAAAUGCCUUCAAUUCUGAUCGAUCAAAGCUAGCCAGUGCACAAAGUCCUCCAUAGGUUGCAACGUCUUGAGGAGCAAUGACCUCGUUAUAUGAAUUCCCAAGUUCUGGACUAACAUCCAAAAACUGCACAAGACAAAAUCCAAGUCCAACGAUUAGACAUCAAUAAGAUCUUGAGCUUUAGAAAACGACAAUUCGACAGACCUUACGAGCAGCGAGCUUAUACUUCUUCAGCUCCAAGUGAGCCAAUCCAGAAGCACAUCGGAGUUUAGCAGCUACAAAAGGGUCAAGGGUUUCAGGGUUCUGCUCUGCCUUGUUCACGUAGCUUGACACAUGAGUGAACUGUCCCAUCUCGAUGCUCACAAGAAUGGCGUUCAUACACAUGUGAAUAAUGUGCUUAGCCGUGGUGCAGUAGUCUCGUGUUCGAACAUAGUUCUUGAAAGCAUCACUGAGCAAACCACAAGCAUAGUAGAAGUCACCAAAAUCAUUAUGACCCAUUCUGAUGCUUUCCUUGAUCAGAUUAGUCUGCAUAAUCAAGACAGUAGAUGAAAUCACUAUUUACACAAUUACAGAGUCAAACAAGCGUUUAGAUAAAGUACUAAGCAGCACGUAAACAACGCUACUUCAAUCUCUUGAGUAAUAAUUUGAGAAACAACAUCAUAAAAGCCAGUAGUAGAGAAUCAUCAUUAAUAGACAACAAUGAACAAAUUCUGAUGCUUUCCUUGAUCAUAUUUGUCGGUAUAAUCAAAACAGAAGAAUCGCUGCUUAUGUAAUUACAUAACCAAGCAAACGAAUUAUCAGAAAAGAGCUAUAGAAACACACUUAGCAGCACAUAAACAACACACGUACUUAAUUAUAUAAGUAAUGAAGUGAAACAAUAUCAUAAACAAUCAGCGGUAGAGAAACAUGAACCCAUUCUGAUGCUUUCCUUAAACGUUUGUAUUAUCAAAUAGAAGAUGAAUCUAUAGUUCUGCAAUUAAACGAAUCACCAGAAAAAAAGAGCCACGCACACACUAAGCUACACAGAAACAACACUACACACUUCAUUGUCUAAGUAAUGAUUCACCAGAAAAGAGCGAUGCAAACACACAAAGCAGCACAUAAACAACACCACAUACUUCAUUACCUAAGUAAUGAACUGAGAAACAGCAUCAUAAGCAAUCAGCAGUAGAGAGUCAUCGUUAUACAGAUAACCAUGAACCCACUCUGAUGCUUUCCUUGAACGUUUGUAUAAUCAAAUAAAAGAUGAAUCUAUAGUUAUUCAAGUAAACGAAUCACCAAAAAAGAGCCAUGCAAACACACUAAACAGCACAUAAACAACACUACAGACCUCAUUCUCUAAGUAGUUAAUUGAGAAACAACAUUAAAAAUCAGCAGUAAAGGGUCAUAAUUAACAGAUGAGCUAUUCUGAUGCUAACGUUUGUAUAAACAAAUAGAAGAUGGAUUCAUAGUUCUGCAAGCAAAUGAAUCUCCAGAAAAAGAGCUACGUAAACACACUAAGCAGCACAUAAACAACACUACACUGAGAAACAGUAUCAUAAACAAUCAGCAGUAGAGAGACAUCGUUAUACAGGCAACCAUGAACUCAUUCUCAAUUUGUCAUAUGCUUUCCUUAAGCGUUUUGCAUAAUCAAAUAUAGUAGUUCUGUAAGCAAACGAACUACGCCUACACUAAGCAGCACAAACAACACACCGCAUACUUCAUUCUCUAAGAAUCUAAUAUAAACAGAAUCAUCAAAAUCAGUAGUAGAGAGUCACAACAAGCGAUUUACCCGAUACGAACUGAGCUCGUUCUCAAGCCUUCCUUUCUUCUGCUCAGCACGACGAUCUACACUUUCACACCAAGCCGAAUCCAUCUUGUACUUAUCCCCAAGCCUCCCGUUGAUCCUGUUAACCACGUCUCUGAACAACUGCGUGUUCUCUCCCUUCUUGAUCUCGUCGUAAGCCAUCCUCAGCGCUUCGAGCUGCAUCGUCUGAUUUCCUCCGCAAUGGCUUGCGAUGAAGAGUAAUCGCAUGAUCUUCGUUCGUCCUUUGUAAAGCGACGCGUAAGCUUCGAUGUCGAGAGGUUCGCCGCUUAUAAUAGGUCUCCGAUUAGAUGUUUCUUCGCCUCCUCCGUUAGUGCACAUCUCCAUCAUCGGUCCGCUUGAUUCUUCGUCGCGCUCCAUCGAUUCGUCGAGAUUUAGGGUUUUGUUUUUUUUUGCUCUGCUCAGAAGUUAUUUUGAGCUUCCUUUGAGUUUCUUCUCUCUUCUGAUCGGAGGGGCUGGUUAUUAAUUUUGUAUUAAGUAGAGAAAUAUACGUCGGUCCGGUUUAGGCCCAUCUCAAUAUAAUAGUUGGGUUUUUAAUUUUCUUUUCUUUUUAACACACUUAGUUGGGUCCUUGAUAAGGCCACGAAGGACCGUAUCUUGCGGACAGGUGUUAACAAAUGAGAGGAUAGAGGUUUGGUUACGCGUUGAACGCGAUCAAACUUUCCUUUCUCUCUCUCGAAUCCUCUCUUCCACGAAAAGGAAAGGCGAAUCGUCGGCGACGUCUCGGAGCAGCAACCAGCAGCAAUGGCGGUUUCUCUCUCCUCGUCGACGAUCACUCCCAUGACGCUCCAGCCGAAGCUGAAACCGAUUCAUGGCUUAGGGACACUAAAAUUCGGUUAUUUGGUGAAUUCUCAUCUUCCUAAAACCAGAACCGAUGUCUCUCUCCGGCGUAGCGCUAUCGUCGCAUCUGCCAUUACCGGCGCUUCAGGUAAGCUUAAACACCUUCUCUUUUGUUCUGUUCUGUUAUGUUAUGUUCUCUUAUGAUCUGUUAUGUUCUCUUAUGAUCUGUUCUGUAGAAACUGAGAUUCCGUAUUCCUUACGAGAUUGUAUCGAUUCUCCGACAGGAACUGAAACUGCCGAUUUGCUAGAGACAGUGAAAGUCUCGGACUUGAAAGGAAACGAGAUUCCGAUCUCUGAUUUAUGGAAGGAUAGGAAAGCCGUUGUUGCAUUUGCUCGUCAUUUCGGGUGUUGAACUAAAUUGAUCACUGUUGACAAAGUGAAACUGAUAUUAGUUGGGGAGAUGAGAUAUGAGUCCCCACAUGCGUAGAAAAAAUGUUCUCAUAAUUGAUACUGGCCCAUGGAACCAAGUGUGUACUUAGAAGUUUGACCAUAUUCACUUUCAAUGUGAGUUCCAUGCAUUUUCAGAUUCACACUUAGGAUUUGAUUCAAAGUCCAAUGAUUGAUACUUCAAAGAAGCUUAGAAAUUAAAAGUCAAGAAAACAAAGGCAGUAACAAAUAGAGCAGAGAUGAUUGUCUAGACAUAUAUCUAACAAAUAACUAAAAAACCAAAGCAAUCUUUCAUAAACAUCUUUAUAACCUUGGAAUAGACCAGUCACCAGUGCCUCUCGGGUUAGCCAAACAGAUGAAGUCCAUCUCAAUGGUUUCUUCCAGCUCUGGCAUGAUACUCAUGUUUAAGAAGGUUGGCUCUCAACAUCAUUGACCUGACAUCUCUAUCGAACUCGUUACCCAUCUGAAGCACCUUUUGGAAAGUUGCAUUCCUCUGAUCAGCGUGCCUUGCAUAGAGGAUUUUGUUGUGAGAAUC
rnacentral:lncRNA from 1 species